UGGCUCAGUGGUAGAGUGCUUGCCUUGCAUGCCUGAGGCCCUGGGUUCGAUUCCCAG
rnacentral:tRNA from 1 species